UACCUUUGACUUUUGGAGUCGCUCCUCUGUGAGAGACGACUUGACACGUGUGUAGUGAUGCCCCAUGCCCACAAGGCCUUUGUGCGCAUGCGUGGUGCCCCCACCUUCUGAGGUGCACGCUGUGGAAUGUGUACAGCAGCGUUGCUUGGCACCGGCUGUUCAUUCUGAGCUGAGAGACUGCAGACUGCGGAGCCACGCUGUGGCACCGUGGUGUUCCGACCAGUUGAUUGGUGUGUUUUUGUGUUCCAGAUGUGGCGAAAAGCCGCUAGGUGCCUCAAGGAUGAGGAAAAUUGUCUGGUGGGCUUCAAAGAAGUCCUCCGUCGGGUGCGAGAAUGGGAUUGAGGCUCAAUUUGGCUACCACAUCCGACGCAAGGAGCUCCGGAAGCUCCACAAGGCCGCCAGUGAGGGGGACGUAGCCAGGGUCCAGCACCUCUGCUUGCUGAAGAAAAGCAGCGUGAAUGACCGCGACAGGAAUAACAGGACUGCCCUACAUUUGGCAUGUGCCAGUGGUCAUUCAGAAGUGGUGAUGCUCCUACUUGAAAGAAAAUGCAUGAUCAAUGUCACUGACAAUGACAACAUGACACCUCUGAUGAAGGCUGUUCAGAGCCAUGAAGAAAAAUGUGCACGAAUUCUACUCAAUCAUGGGGCUGAUCCAAAUAUUAUAGAUGAGAAUGGCAACACAGCCCUCCACUACGCAGCCUACUGUGAGAAUGUUGGAAUAGCAAAACAGUUACUCUUAAGAAGUGCCGAUAUUGAAGUGAGGAACAAGGAUGGCUUCACACCACUAUUACUUGCAAUAUAUGAAAAUGGUGAGGAAAUAGCAGAAUUUUUGAUUAAGAAAGGAGCCAAUAUUCAUGCUGUUGAUAAGAUUAAACGGACGGCUCUCAUGCUGGCCGCACAAUAUAGAUCUACUAGGAUAGUAAGGCUUCUUCUAGAAAAAGGAAUUGAUGCCUCUUGCUUAAACAUGUACGGAUGGCCUGCAGAGAAGUUUGCUCUUGUUACAUUCAAUCUAGCUAAUCGCCAGCUAAUUCUGGAUUAUGAAGAUGAACACAGAUAUAAAAUGCUUGAAAAGAAUAAUCCAGGUUCCUAAAAGUGAGGCUUUGAAGGCCACCAAAUUAGCUAUAGAUGCCGGGUUUUGCCAUAUUGACUCUGCCUAUUUGUACAAAAAUGAAGAGGAGGUAGGACUGAGCAUCACAAGUAAGAUUGCAGAUGGUGUUGUGAAGAGACAAGACAUAUUUUGCACUUCAGAGGUACUGUCUUAUGGUGCACAGGUGUACAAAGUAAUGCAAUGUUAUGAGUGGAACUGACAAUUAUAUGAUUGGAUUAAUAGUUGUUGGUGUAUUGUGUUUAGUGCUACAAAUUUUAUUCAGAUACAUUUGCAUAUAACAUUUAUUUCUUCAAAUGUAUGUUUUAUAUUCAAAUCUAUAUUUUAAGUAAAGCCCCUUUACCUUUCUGAGUCUCUCUCAAAGCACUGUGAUGUAGCAUGGCUGUGGAGACAGACAGAACUAUCAUCAGGUUACGGUUUUCCUCAUUUCCUCAGUGACUUUAAACUUUCACGUUAUUUUCAUUAUCGGUCGUCACCGCUAUCAACAUGACAGAACAAUGUAAGAGUUCUCAUUAGGCAUUAAAUAUAUAUAAACAAGGCCAGCGCCUUGGCUCAAUAGGCUAAUCCUCCACCUUGCGGCGCCGGCACACCAGGUUCUAGUCCCGGUCGGGGCACCAGAUUCUGUCCCGGUUGCCCCUCUUCCAGGCCAGCUCUCUGCUGUGGCCAGGGAGUGCAGUGGAGGAUGGCCCAAGUACUUGGGCCCUGCACCCCAUGGGAGACCAGGAAAAGCACCUGGCUCCUGCCUUCAGAUCAGCAUGGUGCGCCAGCCGCAGCGCGCCAGCUGUGGCGGCCAUUGGAGGGUGAACCAAUGGCAAAAGGAAGACCUUUCUCUCUGUCUCUUUCUCUCUCUGUCCACUCUGCCUGUUAAAAAAUAUAUAUAUAUAUAAACAGAUUUAAUAUGUGCAACACAUAUUAAAAUUUUCAAAAUAUUUCCCUUCAGUUUUGCCAGUAAAAGGGAUACUAAUUCUUCCCUAUGGAAUUAAGCAGAUGUCAGAAUUAGAUCAUUAAAUUUUAUAAAAACUCUGCUAUUACUUGAUAACAUUUUUAUCUCUGGUGCCAUGAUUCACUAGAUUAACAACAACCAAACAUAUAUACAGGAUAUAUAGAUAUAAGAUCACAGGAAACCCCCAAAAUGGAAGGAAGUGCUUUUUCCUUGUAUUCGUCAGUUUCUAACCAGUAUAAAAAUAUACCAACAAAUUUGGUUAAUGUAUUCAUCCAACACAAUAUUCAUUUAACUUAUUCAGCUUUGGUCCACUUUCCAUAGACCUAAGCUGGUUUGACCAAGCUUGGAAGAGUCACUGAAAAAACUUCAACUGGGGCCGGCACCGCGGCUCACUAGGCUAAUCCUCCGCCUUGCGGCGCCGGCACACCGGGUUCUAGUCCCGGUCGGGGCGCCGGAUUCUGUCCCGGUUGCCCCUCUUCCAGGCCAGCUCUCUGCUGUGUCCCAGGAGUGCAGUGGAGGAUGGCCCAAGUGAUUGGGCCCUGCACCUCAUGGGAGACCAGGAAAAGCACCUGGCUCCUGCCAUCGGAUCAGCGCGGUGCGCCAGCCGCAGCGCGACAGCCGUGGCGGCCAAUGGAGGGUGAACCAACGACAAAGGAAGACCUUUCUCUCUGUCUCUCUCUCUCACUGUCCACUCUGCCUGUCCAAAAAAAAAAAAAAAAAAACUUCAACUGGACUAUGUUGACCUCUAUAUUAUUCAUUGCCCAGUGUCUCUGAAGGUAGGUGAUUUGUAUCAUAAAGCUUAUUUCAUUUCAGCUACCAAUAUAACCACAAUUUUUAUGAACUGUUGAAUGACACAUGUAUAUAAUUUAUAUAAAUUCAAUCUGUGUACUAUAUAGAAACUGAAGUUAGCUAUGCCUAAGAAUUUAUUGGAUUAUGUAACUGGGGAGUCCAGGCCACAAAUAGAUGUACAUAUUUUAAGUAGUCUUAAGACGUGUGUAUUGAUAUUGAUCUUGCAUCUCUGUAUCACUGAAGGUUACUUGAUUUUUGUUGAACUUUCUCCCAUUGGUGUAAAAUAUGGUCUUGGAGCAAUUCAAGGAUCAUGGUAAUUAACAUUUGAUAGAGACUCUGCCUCUUCCAUUAUUAAAAUCAAUUUUGAAAAGAACCUUAUAUACAGGUAACAUGACUUCACUCAGAACAAACAGUAUUGGGGUAGAUAGAGAAAACCGGUUAGCUUGGGUCAAGGCUGCAAUCUAUCACUGCUACAGUCAAAGGCUAUGUAACUAUUGUUUUUCCAAGUAAAAGAGUGGCAUUUCUUCAGAGAAAAAUAUAGGGGAAGGAAAAGUAAUAAUGGAUGUGGGGAAAGUGUAUCUACUAAUACAUAUAAUAGGUGUAAAAGAAUAGAGAAAUUCCAUAUAGUUGCACAUGCAAUCCUUUUAAAACACACACACACAUACACACACACACUCUGCUUCCUGGAGGUUUGCUGCCUGAGUAUAGGAGCAUUGCCCUGGGUGGAGAUUUGUGUUGGUUGACAUCAUUGUGAUGACUGCUUCUGUUACAGCCAGGGGGAGAACUUAUUCCUAAAGAUGACCAUGGAAAAGUACUGUUUGACACAGUGGAUCUAUGUGCCACGUGGGAGGUGAGUGUGUGGAGGGGAGAGUAAGGAGAAGCCUGGAGAGGGGGUUCUAUCACACUUUCACCUGGGAGAAUGGCAUAUGCACCCACUCAUGGAGGUAGAAAUUCAUGGCUUUUACAAGGAAAAUCAUCCUGAGAGAUGGGGAAGAACCAGAGCCUGCUACCUUCACUGGGAUUUCUGCAUUCAUACUGGCUCAGACAUCUAUGCAAGUGAUUCUUCACAAUGUUUUUCUCCACAGGCAACGGAGGAGUGUAAGGAUUCAGGAUUGACCAAGUCCAUUGAGGUUUCCAACUUCAACCGCAGGCAGAUGGAGAUGAUUCUGAAUAAGCCAGGGCUUAAGUACAAGCCAGUUUGUAAUCAGGCCAUUAGCAAGGAGUUGGAGCUGAAGUGGAGCAGCUGGGAAUGGGACCAGUACCAAUACCACAUGGAACGUGGGUGUUGCAGAUGGUGGUGUCACUUCUAUGCCACAACCUGGCCUCGUUUUUAAUUCUUACACUAGAUAAGUUGGCUUGAUUUUUAUGGAUUCAUAUACUAUUAAUGCAUUCACAACUGCUACUAAUUGACUUUUCAUUCUUUUCCUACUUGGGAGGUUUACUAUACAGGAUUUGUUAUUGUGUAUCAGAAAUAUUAAAUUUUUAGGGCAAAUAAACACAUAGUGUCAUUUUGUCAUACAAUUGCUUUUACUUUAUGUUUUACGUGGGAGAUUUACUAUACAGACUUUGUUUAUAAAUUGUAUUAAAUACUAUACACUAUUAAAUUUGUGGGACAAAUGCAUAGCAUUGUUUUAUAAUAAAAUCACUUUCAAUUCAUGUUUUGUAUUUUAAUUUUACUAGUUACAACUUGUGACCUCAAUGGGCAGUUAAUAUUCACACUGUUGUGGAGGGAGUUUGAGGCAGAGAUUAAGGUACCACGUGGGAUAUCUUCACACCGCAUUGCAGUGCUUGGGUAUAAGUCUCUUCUGUGCACUCGAUUCCAGCUGCCUGCUGCUGUGCAGGGAGCAGCAGAUGAUCCCUCAAGUAGUUGCAUCCCUGCCAUCUACAUGGAAGACUCAGAUUGAAGUCUCAACUCCGGGCAUUGGCCUGGUCCAGCCUCAAUUACUGUGGACACUGGAAAGGGCACCAGCACAUGGGAGAUCUCUCUCUCUCUCUCUGUCUCUGUUUCUCUGCCUAUCAAAUAAAUAAGAAAUUUAAAAAUUUUACAUUGGGAGCUGGUAUUAUGGUGUGGUGGGGUUAAGCUGCUGCUUGAGAUGCCAGCAUCCCAUAUUGGAGUGGUGGAUCCAGUCCCUGCUGCUCUGCUUCUGAUCCAUUUCCCUGCUAAUGAACCUGGGAAAGCAGUGGAAGAUGGUCCAAGUACUCAGUCUUCUGCCACCCAUAUGAGACCCAGAUGGAGUUCCUGGCUCCUGGCUUUAGCCCAGCCCACCCCUGGCUGAUGUGGCCAAUUGAAGAUUUACCAGGGGAUGAAGAUCAAUCAGUCAACCUCUUUGUCUCUCUUCCCUCUCUCUAUCCCAUUCUACUACUAUUUCAAAUAAUAAAAUAAAUCUUUAAAAAGUACAUUUUUAAAUCUUUAAAAAGUACAUUUUUACAUCACUUCAGUGAAUAUUUAAAUAUCACAUUACUAUAUUUUUUUCUUACUUAGUUACAGUAUCAUUUAUUACUUUUUCAAAUCCUCAUGCUUCUUUUUCAGGAGCUAACACAACUUUUUUUCCAUUUUGUUUUGGUAAUUGACAACAGAGAAGAAUUAUCACUUUCAAAAUAAGAGUAAUGAUUCUUUUUCUAAGUUUAUAUAAGAGACAGAGAGAAAGAGGAAAAAAAGAGCACCCAUCUCUUGGCUUACUCCCCCACAUGCCCACAACGGCAUGCCUCGCCACAGGUACAGCCAGGAGUCUGUAGUUUAGACUACAUCUAGCUUAGACAACCAUAGUAUGUUUGAUUUUCCUGAAGCCAGAAUAAUUUAUAAUGCUGUUUAUCUUUGUACUAUUGGUGUGUUGGUGAUUUUUUUAAAAUUUACUUAUUUAUUUGAAAGGCAGAGUUACAGAAAGAGAGAAAGAGAAAGAGAGAUCUUUCAUUCCUUGAUUCACUCCCCAAUGGCUGCAAUGGCAGGAAGCAGACUGGUCCGGAUCUAGGAGCUAGGAGAUUCUCCUGGGUUUCCCACAUGGGUGAGGGGCCCAAGGACUUGAGUCAUCCUCAGCUGCUUUUCCAGGCUCACUAUUAGGCAGCUGGAUUAGAAGUGGAGCAGUUUAGACUUGAACCUGCACCCACAGGGGAUGCCAACAUUGCAGGCAGUACCUUUACCAGUUAUGCCACAGUGCCAGACCAUAUAUUGAUGAAUUUUUAAAAUUUAUUUAUUUAUUUAUUUGAGAUGUAUAAUUACAGACAGAUAAAGGGAUAGACAGAUAGAAUGAUUUUCCAUUAGCUGGUUAAUUCUCCAGAUGGCCGCAAUGGCUGGAGCUGAGCAGAUUCGAAGCCAGGAGCCAGUAGCUUCUUCUGGGUCUUCCAUGUGGGUACAGGGACCCAAGCACUUGGGCCAAUAACGGAGGCCAUAACGGAGAGCUGGACUGGAAUAGGAGAAACUAGGACUUGAACUGCAACCAUAUGGGAUGCUGGUUCCACAAGAGAAGGUUUAGCCCAUUCUACAUCUCAAAUAAAUAAGUCUUUAAACAAAUGUUAUACAUUAAGGAAAUAUUGAGACACUUAGUAUACAUAUAAAAGCUUUAAAAUAAUAUUUACAUAAUAUAUUGAUAUAUAAUUGGUACUCAAAAGUUACCCAUUUCAGCUAUCAUCUCUUAUAAACAAAUGAAACAGAGAAGAGCAGGAAAAGCCCCAGGGAGCAAGUGAACAGUACCAGAAACCAAUCAGCUUAACAAGGCAGGUUUUCUGGGGAUGUUGCAGUUUGCACCCCACUGUAUGAGUUUUUUGUUGUUGCCUUGUUUUACUAUUUGCCCUCUAAAGCCCACUUAAUUCCGUUUUUCUUCAAUUUGCUACUUUAAUUUCCUAUUCCUUUAGCAUUUUGUCUCAAAUGUGUACUUUUUUAUUAGGGAAUUUCAAAAAGUUCGUGGAAAAUAGAAAUCAAAGAUAAGCAUGUUUUGGUGCAAAAAAUAUUAAAUCCAUUUUUAUUUUUUGAUUUGCUUACUUCCACAAGUAAUAGAAGCAGUUUAUUUAGCACCACAUGAUUGACUCAGGUGGUGGAAAGUUUUAGAGUUAGAGCUAGUUUUAAUCCUGGUUCUGGCUCUCCUACACACUUUCCAUGAACUUUCUGAAGCUCCUCACUUACCUGAUUCCUCCCAAAUACUUCAUCUAUUGAGCCAAAUAAUGAUUAUGUUAUUUGUUACUUUAUACAAUCUUGUGAUUAUUGUAUAUAAUCUUGUUGCUUUUUCUCCUUUAGCUUUAAACAUAUUGAGACAAGGAGAUAGAGAAAGUAGUUGAACCACAUGAGAAUAAAAGUCCCUACUAUCUCAAGAUUUGGAAUAUGGGCUUGGUUCGCCACAAUCUGAAGAUAAAUGGACCCUCUGCUAGUACUCAGCUCAUACAAGUUUAGGGAGGCAAUGCUGAUCUAGGUUGAUGUAUAGCUCAUUAUACACUCUGUAAUACAUGAGCAUGCUAAAUGAAACACCUACCGUUCCCCAUGACAGGAAAUGUUGGACCACAUGAGGAGCCAACAGUGGCAGGAACUGCAUUCUGGGAAAUUCCCACCCACCUACUUUCCAGAAAAACCUUGAUUUUUCCUCCCCCUUAUUAGAAUGCAUCUCCUCUUCAUUAGAAUAAUCUUCCCUUUUAUUGAAUAAGUCAUAUUAUGUUAAACACAAUUCAGAGAGGAAGAUGGAAGGUCCCACUCUAUAGAGUUCCUGUCUGCUUUCGCAAUAAAACACUGUUGGUCACCAUUUGCUAGUCUCUAGCUUCCUCCUGUAUUCUCUCUUGAAGUGAAAUCAAGGACCCAGGUACCAAGCAGCCCUCAUUGAAUGUGGUUAAGAAUUUGUUACUGUAAAUAUAUUCCAAAAAGGCAUACUUUUCUUAAGAAUACGUAGGAAAUAAAAGCAACAAAAAAUGUACAAUAUUAAACAUAUAUUCCAUAGCAGAGGGUAAGGGUGAACAACAAAGAGAUUACUAAUGAACCAAAUAUUUGUAAUAAACUACUGCACUCUUAUCUAAAAUUAUAAUUUAAAGAAACUAGUCAAAAUAUUUUAUAUUCUGUUUGAAAAAGAAUGUGACAGGCAUAUAAUAUAACAAAUCAAGGAAAGAGCCCAUUAGAGAGGGUUGGGAGAGAGGUAACACUAUAUUCCUAAAUCUGUAUACAUGAAAUACAUAAAUUUGUAUACCUUAAAUAACUUUUUUUAAAUAAUUAAAAUCAAGGUGAAAUAAAUUUAAAGCACAUUUGCAAUAGUAACAAGCAAGAAAAUUCAGAUAAUUUGGUCUUAAAUACUAAGAAUGAAAGUAAAUAUGAAACAAAUAAAAUACCAAAAAUAUAAUAAUUGUUAGAAGGAAAUCUUUUCCCCUACCAGGUUAGGCAGGUCAGCUAGGAUUGAGGCUGCUGACAAUAGACAAUAGAUUAACUGAUUAUCUAGACUAACUAGAGAAAAGUUUAACCCAAAUGCAUGCAAGAAUACUCUGAGUACCUUUGGAGCAAAAAUAGUCCUUUUUUUUUUUUUUUAAAGAUUUAUGUAUUUGAAAGAGUUAUAUAGAGAGAGGUAGAGACAGAGGGAGAUCUUCCAUCCCUUUGUUCACUCCCCAGAUGGACACAAUGGACACAGCUGGGCCAGGGAGAAGCCAGGAGCUUCAUUCCAAUCCCCGACAUGGGUGGCAGGAUCCUAAACAUUUGGCCAUUUCCCGAUGCUUUUUCCAGGCCAUUUGCAGGUAGCUGGAUUGGAAGUGCAGCAGCAGGGACACACACUGGCACCCAAAUGGGAAGCUGGUGUUAGGUGACAACUUUAUUGUCUAUGCCACAAUGCCAGCCCAUGCAAAUAGUCUUUGGUAAGGGUUUAUCUAUCCUCUUAACAGAGUGUGAGUGUAUAUGUGUGAGCGGCUGCUUAGGGCUUUGCGAGAAAUCAAGGAAGGCUCUAUUGGGCUUUGUCAUAGCUGUGCUAAGGGUCAGUUUUGGAGACGGUUAGGGCAGCUAUAUUUUUCAGAUGCUUAGCUUUAGUCAGAUAAGAUUUACAUUAUUUAUUUCUACAUCUGCUUGAAGGGGACAGACUGUAUUCAAAUCACAGCAAUUAUUAUAAUCUACUUUGUCACACAAUGCUACUCUAUCAAUGUGUUAUACAAUUCUCUACAUAAAUUUUUAAAUAAUUUUCUAAUGAUGUUCAUAAAUAAUAGUAGUCUAUUUGGAGAAUAACUGUCUUUGUUGUGUUAUUUUUGCAUGUUUCUCUCAGUACUGUGAUGACUUUAUAAAAUGGAAGUUUGGAGAGGUCUUUUGGUACAGCAUAUAAGGUACAACUUGGGACACCCACAUCCUAUAUUAGAGUGUCUGAGUUUGAGUCCUGGCUCCACUUUCAAUUCUAGUUUCCUUCUACAGCACUUCCUGGGAGAUAGUAGAUGCUGACUCAAGUACAUGGAUCCCCUCCAGCCACAUAGAAGACCUACUUUGAGUUCUAGGUUCCUGCCUUCAGUCUCACUCUGCUCCAGUUUUGUGGGCACGUAGGGAGUGAACCAGAGAAUGAAGAUCUGUAUAUUGUUCUGUCUUUUGCUGCCUCUCUAUCUUUGCUUUUCAAAUAAAUAAAAGUAAAUAUUUGUUUAAAAAGGAAAUUAGGAGCUAGGAGCUUUUCUUUUGCUGAAAUCUAUUUGUUUAAAGUUUAAAAUAAUUUAUCUAUUAAGUUAUCCAAGUAUAUUGUUUCUAUGGCAGCAUACUUUGGCAAUUUUCCUUGUUUUUAUAAUUUUAAUAUGAAUUUAUGAUCUGUUUUAACAUGUUUUCGUUCAUUGACUAGAUUUUCCCCAGGGUUGAUCUUGUUAAUAGGGAUGACACAAAUGUUUGGAACAUUAGCUGGUAUUUUCAACAUAACAUUCUUCCUUAUUCUAAGAACAUGAUUUUGUGUAAAAAUCUGCACUUCCUUGAGCUCAAAGAACACCCACUAGUAGGACAAUAUAACCAUAAGAGUCAUAAGGAUAAGUUUCUUCCAACUUUGCCGAUGAUUAUUGUGAAGUAAUAACUAUAGAAAAAAAACCAAGAAGGGUCAAGGAGGAGUCAUUCCUCAUUUGGAGAGAGAAAUAGACCCUCCUCACCCUUAGGGCCAGCCUCUUCUUAACACCCUCUUCUAGGAAUCAAGUGAAAAAUGAUUUGCCUGACUGAAGAAAAUACAUCUGGCACCUAAGUCCCUUCCAGAUUCUGCCCAGGGGUAUUUACCACAAGAAAGACAACACCCACAGAAACACCAGGCACUUGUCACAGCUGAAGUCUUUACUGGGCUGAACAUACAUAUGCAGACAUAUGCUCACAAUCCUACAGUCUAACACAUACACACACACAUGAGGGGAGUUCAAAAAGUUUGUAGAAAAUGCAUUGUAGGAACAAACUUUUCAUGGUGUAAGAAAAUAUUUCCACCAGCAUAAACUGACCUUGUUUGUUAAAGAUUAGCUUAUUUACUGGAGAGGCAUAGUCAGAGAGAGAGGGAGAGACAGAGAGAGAGAGGUCCUCCAUCUGUUGGUUCACUCCCCAAAUGGGCAUAACAGCUGGAGCUGCACUGAUCCAAGGCCAGAAGCCAGGAGCUUCUUCCAGUCUCCCAUGGGGGUGCAGGGAUCCAAGCACUUGGGCCGUCUUCUACUGCUUUUGCAGGUCAUCAGCAGGGAGCUGAACCAGAAAUGGAGCAGCUGGGACUUGAAUCAGUGGCCAAGGGGAUUCUGGCUCUGAAGGUGGAUGCCCAACCUACUAUGCCACAGUGCCAGUCCCAUAAAAUGACCUUUUGCUACCACUUUUACAUAUGCUCAUUUUCACUUUAUGAUUCCCUAAAAUAACUCGUUGAUUGAAAUGUUGUGGAAAAGGGAAUUUUUAUAUUUUCUUGGUAAUGUUAAAAUUUAGGGCUAAUAUUUUUUUUCUCUCUAAAAAUUUUAUUUAUUUGAGAGGUAGAGUUACAGACAGAAAAAGGGAGAGACAGAGAUAAAGGUCUUCCAUACACUGGUUUACUCCCCAAAUGGUUGCAAUGGCUAGAGCAGGGCUGAUCUGAGGCCAAGAGCCAGGCGCUUCUUCCAGGUUUCCCAGAAGGAGCAGGGGCCCAAAGCACUUGGGCCAUCUUCCACUGCUUUCCCAGGCCAUAGCAGAGAGCUGGAUCUGAAUAGGAGCAGUUGGGAUACGACUGACACCUAUAUGGAAUGCUGGCUCUGCAGGCGGAGGCUUAGCCCACUACAUCACAUCAUUGUACCCAAGCAUUGUUCUAUAAGUAUUUUAUGACCAAUUAUUUAUAGAUUAUGAAAAUACAAAUUGCAAAAUCAAGUUGAUUACUACUUAGAACACGCUUUACUUGAGCUUUGAUAAUAUUAUGACUCUGUAGAGAUGAAGGUUUAUUUAGGAAAUUGAAUCUCAGUGGAAAACAGUUCUAACAUAGGGUUAGGAUCUUGCUGAAUGCAUUGAGGAACUUUAAACGUGAGUUUUCUGCCCUCUCGUGGCCAUCUCUCAAAAUACAGACAAAGCUGUAUGAGAAUGAAGACAAUGAAAGCAUACAGAGUACAACCCAAGAAGCAAAGCUCUUGCCCAUUUUAAAGGUUUGGGGUUCUGAGAAAUCAUCUCACUUGAUUUACUAAUUUUAUUUUGUGUCAUGGACGAGGCAUUGUGGCCAGCCAGUUAAGCAGAGCCGAAUCCCAUACAGGCACAGGUUCUGAUGCUGCUACUGUGUUUGUUUUUUUUUUUUUUUUUCUUUCCUCAUGACUUAGUGAGGAUCAGUACACAGACAUUUUAAUUGGUACACAAUUCUUCACAUGCGUACCUAACAUCUAAAAAGCCAUGGUUUGUCCUUCUUUUAUUUAAAGUUAUUCCUGUGACUUUCCAGCUUCAAAUUUGAAGGCGACUCUUGCUGAAGAGACUAUCAAGACCCACUAUCAUCAAAGGUACCUGUUACAUAAGUCCCAGCAACUCACCAUUUAAUAUCAUAUACAUGACAUACUCAACUUCUCAAUCUUCCACAUUACUAGGAGGACUGGACUCCCACAACCAAAGAUGUUAUGAGCACACAGCAAUCUGACAGAGCAACAAGAUCUGGUUUUUUCUAGGAAACAGCACCACUAAACAUGGGGGAAGUCAUGGAAAAUACUUGAGACAGAUUCAAUGCCCAAUUGUGACUGCAAAUUGCUAUUUAUUUAGUGUGUUAUGUAUUGUAGGAUAUAAAAACCAUCCCCUGUGGCCUGUAUUGUGGAGCAGCAGGUUAAGCCAGCAUCCCAUAUGGGCACUAAUUAGAGUCCCAGCUGCUCCACGUCUGAUCCAACUCCCUGCUCAUGCACCUUGGAAAGCAGUGGAGGAUGGCCCAAGCCCUUGGGACCCUGCACUCACCUGGGAGACCUGGAUGAAGCUCCUGGCUCCUGGCUUCAGCCUGGCAUAGUCCUGGCUGCUGUGGCCAUUUGGGGAGUGAAUCAGCAGAUGUAACAUUUCUCUCUCUCUCUCUCUCUCUCUCUCUCUCUCUCUCUCUUUCCCACUCUCUCUGUAAUUCUAACUUUCAAAUAAAAUAAAUCUUAAAGACAAACACCUGAAAAGUGAUCCCUGUUAGGAAUUUGGAAAACAUUAUGCUGAGUGAAAUAAGCCAAUCCCAAAGGGACAAAUACCACUUGUUUUCCCUGAUAGGUGACAGCUAACUGAGCACCAAAAAGGAAACUUGUUAAAGUUAAAUGAACACUAUGAGAAAUGGUGACUUGAUCAGCCCUCACCCUGACUGUUGAUGAGCAACUUAAUAUGUUAUCUCUCUUAGUAUUUUUUUGUUUGUUCUACUUAAUACUUUUGGUUGAAUACUGUAAUCAAUACACAAUUCUUAAGUUCUGAAACUUAACUGAAAAGUGAUCGCUGUUAAAUAUAAGAGUGGGAAUAAGAGAGGGAAGAGAUGUGCAAUUUGGGACAUGCUCAAGCUGACUUACCUCAAACCGUAGAGUUAGAAACAUACCAGGGGAUUCCAAUUCAAUCCCAUCAAGGUGGCAUGUACCAAUGCCAUCUCACUAGUCCCAGUGAUCAAUUUCUGUUCACAAUUGAUCAUAAUGAUAGGACUAAGAACCAAAGGGAUCACAUAAACAAGAAAAGUGUCUGCAAAUACUAGCUGAUAGAAUAAAAAAGGGAGAGAAUGAUCCAACAUGGGAAGCGAGAUACACAGCAGACCCAUAGAAUGGCAGAUGUCCUAAACAGCACUCUGGCCUCAGAAUCAGCCCUUAAGGCAUGCAGAUCUGGCUGAAAAGCCCAUGAGAGUAUUUCAGGCAUGGAAAGCCAAGACACUCUGGGAAAAAAAAAAAAGACUAAAUGAAAGAUCUCCGCAAGUGAAAUCCCAGUGGAAAGAACGGGUCAUCAAAGAAGGAGGUACCUUUCUCUGAAGGGAGGAGAGAACUUCCACUUUGACUAUGACCCUAUCGGAGAAAGAUCAAAGUCAGUGAACUCAAUUGGCUUCGAUAGCCUUGGCAACUCAUGACUAGAGCCUAGGGAGAUCACUGACACCAUAAA